rnacentral:tRNA from 1 species
UGGAGCGUAGCCAAGCGGUAAGGCGCCCGGCUGUUAACCGGGUUACCGCAGGUUCGAAUCCUGCCGCUCCAG